rnacentral:tRNA from 1 species
CCUUCGAUAGCUCAGUUGGUAGAGCGGUGGACUGUAGAAUGAUUCCGUAGAUAUCCAUAGGUCUCUGGUUCAAAUCCGGCUCGAAGGA